rnacentral:rRNA from 1 species
UACGUAGGGUGCAAGCGUUAAUCGGAAUUACUGGGCGUAAAGCGUGCGCAGGCGGCUAUGCAAGACAGAUGUGAAAAUCCCCGGGCUCAACCUGGGAACUGCAUUUGUGACUGCAUGGCUAGAGUACGGCAGAGGGGGAUGGAAUUCCGCGUGUAGCAGGUGAAAUGCGUAGAUAUGCGGAGGAACACCGAUGGCGAAGGCAAUCCCCUGGGCCUGUACUGACGCUCAUGCACGAAAGCGUGGGGAGCAAACAGG